rnacentral:rRNA from 1 species
UACGUAGGGUGCGAGCGUUGUCCGGAAUUAUUGGGCGUAAAGAGCUUGUAGGCGGUUUGUCGCGUCUGCUGUGAAAUUUCGGGGCUCAACCCCGAACUUGCAGUGGGUACGGGCAGACUAGAGUGUGGUAGGGGAGACUGGAAUUCCUGGUGUAGCGGUGAAAUGCGCAGAUAUCGGGAGGAACACCAGUGGCGAAGGCGGCACUCUGGGCCGGAACUGACGCUGAGGAGCGAAAGCGUGGGGAGCGAACAGG